rnacentral:lncRNA from 1 species
CUGACGAUGACUUAGAAAAACAUUGUAGAACCUAAAAUCUACACUAAGUAUUUAAUAGUGAUCGGGAGUUCAAUCUGGAGAAGAAAAAUGAUGUGGGCAACGAUAUCCUUAGAACACAACGAUAUAAUCAGGUAUGAGUCGGCGAAAAUGGACUAUAUUCGUAGGUCGAAUAUCAUAAAGAUAUCGGGAAAGAGAAGAUCGUGACUGAACUCGAGAACGAGCUGCCUACGUACCCGUCGUGGGAUCAAGUCUAAACGUAGUUCGAUUAUCAUCAUCUCGAAAGGGAUGUUGGUGUCAUCGGUCUUGAGCAAGACGUCGGGUUUGUCGGUCCCGAUCGAUACAUCGAGUUCGUCGGUUCUCAGGAGAGACAUCGAGUUCGUCAGUUCUCAGAAGACGUCGGUUUUAUCUCUUACCAUCUCGGGCGAGAUGUCGUUUACCUCCUUUAGAACGAGACCCCAUUCACGAAUGGGGAACAAGUUGAACUCGAGACGGUCGAUUACGAUCUCGUUAGAUCGUUUAUCGUACGAAGGAUAAGUCUUGUUCUUCAACAAACGUGGAGACGUAUUGGAGUGAUAGAGAAACGUGUAUGAUGAUGUAUAGUAAACCCUUCGUCUUAUUGAUCUAUGUUAACGCAUGGAGCCUGGAUUCACUAAGUGCACACGUCUCCUCCUUAAUAAUAAUGGUAAUGGAUGGUGUUUUAUUUGUCGUUGUGAGCCCCCUGAAGCUCUUUU